GUACGGUUAAAGGGUUAUUGCGCAUUUUUUGCCGAUCCGCACACAUUGGAAUUUCGCUAACUCCUCCGAAGGCUUUCGUUCCACCGGCACCACAUUUGCUCAGGCCAAUCUACACCCCAUGGCCAUUAAAAGUUAUUCAAAUCAUGAUGCUGCACCCCACGGUUUAGGUUCUAGGGGGCGCCAAAGAUAACCCUAAAAUCCACAUAUUUCAAAGUCUUAUAACUUUUUAUUUUUGCCCUCACUGGCCUCCAAGUUUUCUAGGAUGAUGCAAUGUCCAGCCAUCAACACAUUUGUGAAGGAAUUUUUACUCCCCAAAAGAGCGCCCCCCCAUGGCAGGAGAAAAAAGUCCAUUUUUUCUUGUCCCAUAAGGUGAAAAUUCACACUAUUGACUGUCACGCCUGUACGCUUUGUCAAAAUUACACAAAAAUUGACACACACAUGUAUCUCAAUAAGAUCUACAAAAAAGUCAGUGCUGGCGUAUCUGUCAAAUGUACGGUUAAAGGGUUAUUGCGCAUUUUUUGCCGAUCCGCACACAUUGGAAUUUCGCUAACUCCUCCGAAGGCUUUCGUUCCACCGGCACCACAUUUGCUCAGGCCAAUCUACACCCCAUGGCCAUUAAAAGUUAUUCAAAUCAUGACGCUGCACCCCACGGUUUAGGUUCUAGGGGGCGCCAAAGAUAACCCUAAAAUCCACAUAUUUAAAAGUCUUAUAACUUUUUAUUUUUGUCCUCUCUGGCCUCCAAGUUUUCUAGGAUGAUGCAAUGUCCAGCC